UAAGCGUACACGGUGGAUGCCCUGGCAGUCAGAGGCGAUGAAGGACGUGCUAAUCUGCGAUAAGCGUCGGUAAGGUGAUAUGAACCGUUAUAACCGGCGAUUUCCGAAUGGGGAAACCCAGUGUGAUUCGUCACACUAUCAUUAACUGAAUCCAUAGGUUAAUGAGGCGAACCGGGGGAACUGAAACAUCUAAGUACCCCGAGGAAAAGAAAUCAACCGAGAUUCCCCCAGUAGCGGCGAGCGAACGGGGAG
rnacentral:rRNA from 1 species